rnacentral:snoRNA from 1 species
UUGAGGUGAUGAUUUCAUUGACAAUCCAACUCUGAAGCUUAUGUGUUGAGAGAAUUCAAGAGCUUUUUAACCCUGAUCAAA